CCUGCGGAGGGAUCAUUACUGAGUUACCGCUCAUCAACCCUUUGUGAACAUACCUUAACUGUUGCUUCGGCGGGUAGGCGUCCCCUAAAAAGGACGUCUCCCGGCCCUCUCCCGUCCGCGGGUGGGGCGCCCGCCGGAGGAUAACCAAACUCUGAUUUAACGACGUUUCUUCUGAGUGACACAAGCAAAUAAUCAAAACUUUUAACAACGGAUCUCUUGGUUCUGGCAUCGAUGAAGAACGCAGCGAAAUGCGAUAAGUAAUGUGAAUUGCAGAAUUCAGUGAAUCAUCGAAUCUUUGAACGCACAUUGCGCCCGCCAGCAUUCUGGCGGGCAUGCCUGUUCGAGCGUCAUUUCAACCCUCAAGCUCUGCUUGGUGUUGGGGCUCUACGGUUGACGUAGGCCCUUAAAGGUAGUGGCGGACCCUCUCGGAGCCUCCUUUGCGUAGUAACAUUUCGUCUCGCAUUGGGAUUCGGAGGGACUCUAGCCGUAAAACCCCCAAUUUUACUAAGGUUGACCUCGGAUCAGGUAGGAAUACCCGCUGAACUUAAGCAUAUCAAU
rnacentral:rRNA from 1 species